GGGUCCAAGGAGCCUGCUGCUCAUGUGUCUGUGGGUGCCAGGGAAGCACCUGCUGUGGUGGGCCAGUUGUAAACCUGGGUCCCACAUGAGGUUGAGGAGCAGAAGUGGCAGCCAAGGUCUGGCUGCUGCUCGGUGGCAGCAGGGAGGGGGCCAAAGGCUGGCAGGGCUGGAGAGACGCUAGGUUGGGUGGUGGCUUUCUUCAAGCACUUGAAUGGCGGGGAGCCUAUGGGUGUUACUAUCUCUGUGCCUUCUUCCUUUGGCACUGUCAGCAGGCUCCUGUCUUGCCCGGCAGCCGCUCCCCACAUGGGCUGGGCACCUGGUCUGCUCCUCAGGUGGCUCUCAUUCAGGUCUCCCUGCAGGGCAGGGGCAACCACCUCUCGUCCCCUCAGGGCAACUCUUUGCUGGCAGUGUUCAAGCGGUUGUGGAUCAUCUCUCUGGAAACAUGGGUGAUAGUAGAAGAAUAAGUGAAAAAAUGCAAAGCAGAAGGAAGAAGAGUUAGCUGCUGCCAGUUUGGAUCUCAAUCACCUCCCUGAGCAGCCCAUUCCAGCACUUCACAAUGCUUUUGGAAAAGAAAUUUUUCCUAAUGUCCAACCUGAACCUCCCCUGGCACAACUCGAGGCCAGUCCUUCUAGUCCUGUCACUGGGAGAAUCUAGUCCUGUCACAGGAGAAGAAGCCAACCUCUACCUCGCCACAAACUCCUCUCAGGUAGUUGUAGAAAGGAAUAAGGUCUCCCUUGAGCCUCCUCUUCUCCAGACUAAACAAUUCCAGUUUCCUCAGCCACUCCUCAUAAGUCUUGUGCUCCCAACCCCUCAACAGCUUUGUUGCCCUUCUCUGGACAUGCUCCAGGGCCUCAAUGUCUUUCUUUUAGUGAGGGACCCAAAACUGAACACACUACUCAAGGUGCAGCCUCACCAGUGCUGAGUACAGAGGGACAAUCACCUCCCUGCUCCUGGGCACACUGCUGUCUCAUAUUUAGCCAGUUAUUAGUGAACUCCCCCAGGUCAGUUUCUUCUACACAGUCUUCCAGAUACCCUGACCCAAGUCUGUAGUGUUGCCUAGGGUUGCUGUGGCCAAAGUACAGGACUCAGCACUAGGUCUUGUUGAACUUCAUCUCAUUGGCCUCAGCCCAGCUAUCCAGCCUGUCCAGAUCCCACUGUAGGGAACAUCCUACCCCCAUGCAGAUCGACACAUAUUAAACAGGUUGGGCCCCAGUAUUGACCCCUGGGGAACAUCCCUCGUGACUGGUUGCCAGUUGGAUUUAACUCCAUUCAUCACCAUUCUCUGGGCCCAAACUUCCAGCCAAUUCUUUACCCAGCAAAGAGUGUACCAAGGCUGCCAGCUCCUCUAAGAGAAUACUGUGGGAGACAUGUUUUAAGACUGAGAAACUCUCAAAUAUCCUUUCCUUCCCAAUACUUCAAGCUUAAACAUUUAUUCAUCGAUGACAACAUGUUUUCCACCAUGACCCCACCAAAUCAUAUUAAAUUGGUCACUUUCAACCAGUCACAGAAUUUCUGUGGAAAGCUGAGGACUGAGGAGAUACUGGCUCUUAGUUUCAUCUGGGAUGGACUUUUCUUCAGAGCGUGUGGUAUGAUGGUGUGUUUUUAGUUCUAGGAGAAAAAUAAUGUUGAUAACACACUGAUGUUUAUAGUUGCUGCUAAGCAGUUCUGUACAGAGCCAAGGCCAUUCUCAGUAAAGGGCCCAAGGAACUGUGAGGGAACAGUUAGAACAGCUGACUUAAACUGGUCAAAAGGAUAUUCCCUACCAUGUAUCAUCACACAGAAGGAAUUUUGAAGGGGGUGGGAGUUCAUCUGGCUCUUCCACUGCUCAGGGGACUAGCUGGGCAUUGGUUUGGAGGUGGAGAGCACUUGCUUGUGCAUCACUUGUCAUAUACAUAUAUAUAUGUAUAGUCAUAACUAUUAUCCUUUUCCUUUUCUGUAUCUUAGUAAGUAGUUUUUUCUCAACCCAUGAGUUCUACUUCGUUGUUUUUUGCUUUUUUUUUCAAUUCUCUCCCCUCACUGGGAAGAGGUACAACCGAACAACUGUAUGGAGCUGAAACACCUGCCAGGUUAAACCACAACACUGGAUUUGCUCUCCUCAGAAGAAAUGUGAGACUGGGAAAAAAGGAGAUGGCGGAGAGAAAGUGACAGCUGAAGUUGGAUGCAGCAGCAGAACCAACAAUUAAGCUGCAGCUUACUUAGCUUACCAGGCUCCACUGCAACAAACCUCCAACUGAAGUAAGGAGGAAGCACUCAAAGGAAGAAAGAAAGGCAUGAGGAAAGAGACUUACAGAAACACAAGAGGAAAGACUCUGAAAAAGCACAUAAAAAUUGUGAAAAAGUAGAACUAUGAAGAACAGGAGCAGAAGAGGAGGGGUAUGGAAAGCAGAAAAGACAAAAAAGGAAAAAAGAUGGAAGAAAUAUUGAUAUAGACAUCUCUAAGAUUAGGAAAAAAAACACAAUAUUUUUGUGUUAUUUUUCAUACACAAGUACGAAAUGACUUCUACUUCGAGAUAUUUUGAACCACUAUUGGUCAGGAGGUGAUUGUUAGGUCUAAGUGUUCUGACUGAAUAUAUAUCAGGAGCUGGAUUAUAUAAUGUGCAGACCGAAAAAGAAACAGCACUCAGUGGAAAAUACUGAUUUCAGUAAAAUAGUAUAUGUGGGAGGAACACAUUUUUCAGGAAAUAAAAUAUCAUAACGGAGCUCAGUCUCAACUACAUAUUUUAUAUCAUUCUGUUUGGAUUAAGCAUUUCAAUAGUACUUUUCCUCUCCUAUUUUGUAAAAUCAAGCUAAUUAAACUAUAAAUACAUGUAACAAACACUAUUACAUAUCUUAGUGCUUGCAUGUAACUAGCAAUUUGGUAAUUCCUUAACUAUAUUCCUAGUAAAGUUUGUGUUUGUUCUCAUAUCCCAUAAACCAAUAGUGCUGCAACAACUGAAUCUCAGCUUUCCAGAUUCCUAAUCACCAACAAAAGUUAUGUCAUUUCUCAUCACUCUGCUGAGCAAUGGCACAAAUGAUUAGAAACUCAUUACUCCCAGACUAGUUAUUAUUCAAGGCACUAAAAGAAAUUUCUUCUAUAGGCUCAGUGGUAAGAAAGCUGUGAGCACCAAGUGCUGUGACUAGUCUAGAUGGAGUAUGAAGAAUGACAUCAUUUGGAAAGCAAAGAGAGUUAAGCAAAUGCAAGUAUCUCAUCACCCAACAGUUUAUUAUGGUAAUUCCACUAUCUUGUUUUUAGGUUGUAUGUAUCUGUUUGAAAGUGUGGGGGGAUACAUGUGACAGGAUUGGAGGUGGUCACUGAUGAUGGAAAGCCCCUCAGUCAGGUGACAUUGAAAUGUCGUUGCACUAAGUAAGAGUAGUAGGAGCAACUGCCCACACAAACUUCUCAUGUGUGUAUGUGUUGAUGUGUAGUGUUCAGAAUCUGAAUUGGAUUGCUUCAUUUUCUUAGUAGCUUACAUUUACCUGUGCACAUCAUGAAUAUAUUCCCUGUACACACUGUACACUUUUCUAAAACAAAGAUGAAGACCAUCUCUACCUCCUGGAGUUCAACUUCUGCGUAUAGAAGACAGAUGAAAAUUGAGAUGGAAGAGGUGCAGACAGUGGACUAGUCAAAAACAGAGUCACUUACAAAGUGAGAUUAAAAUGAAAAUUACUUGAAUUCCAAUUCAGUAGGCUGUCCACUAAAACCUGGAGUUGUGCAAGCUGGCAUUAGGCACAAAAAUAAACUUGAUCACAUCAGAUUUUCCUGCUAGCUAGAUUAUGGGGAGAAACAGGCACACUCAGAGGGAAGCUCAACCUCCUGAUACACAUAUCAUCCCCUCAAGACAAGCAUCACUCUCCAUUGUGUAAAGAGGGAGCUGUGUACUAGGCCUGCACUUGUGCCAAGUAUAUACUGCAAGUGUAGGAGGCUACUAAAACCUGUCAACUCUUAUACAAACACAAAAGUGCACACAGAAUUAUAUAGUCCAGACAUAAGUCUAUAGCCAAUCAAUAGUUUGCUAUGCUCCAUCCUCUCUGUAAUGUACAAUUUCUCGUAACUGGUAUGAGAUGGUGGCAAGUGAAAGUUUCUAGCUCUUUCCUUUUGUUGGUGGGUGAUUUUCCCCAGAAUACGUGGUGGAUUUGAGCCUGGUUGUUUCUUUUCUUCAGCCCUGCUACUUUGAAACUCCAUUAAAUCACAAAUACAUUUCUCACAUCCUUUUGCAUUGGUAAUAAAAUGUUUUUUAAUAAAUUCUAAUACAGCUGUGCAGGCAGCAUAAAAGAGAAGAAAUUACCCGUAAUACCAAGAAAUCUUACCAGCCCUGUAUUGAUUUCAGCUCAGGAGCUCAACACAAAGGCCUACACACCCACAUACACUGCAGAUGCCAGCCUAAUUGAUCCUGCACUGAAAUUGGAGGGUAUCCACAAAAACCAGUAGGUGGUUUUGUUUCCUUUCUAUUUUGUCCUCAGCAAAAUGAAGUCUCUCACACCCUGGAAGAUUUAUUGCAAUUCCAAAGGAAGAACAGAUGUUUUAUGUGUGGCAAGACUGCAUUUUCCAAAGAUCAGGGUUCAUUCAUUCAUGUCAAUAGAAAUCUAAGAUAAAAUGAUAGUGUUAAAUUUGUUAUGCUGUAGAUACAUAUUGUGUGCAAUAAAAUGUAUGCUAUUGUAAUGGGAA